rnacentral:lncRNA from 1 species
AAAACAACCUUAAACUUCCACCAACGACGGAGUUAAGACCACCAUCAAACUCUUGGAACCUCCACGAUCACGAUGGUAUCCAUUUCAGGUGAAACCAAGCUCGUAGGAAGCUUAGUGAGGUCCCAAGGAAGCUCGGAGUACUUCGUUGGAAGUUUUUGGACGUAAGAACACGGAGAUCGACAAGUUCAAAGUUUGGCCGGAGCUUUCGAGGCUUUUUCCGGCGAAUCCCCGGCGAGUUAGGAGUCGAGUUUCCGGCGACCUCCGAGGCUUUCGAGGAAGUUUCCGGCCAAACCACGGCGAACUAGGUGUUGUGCAAGGCGCCGAUCGUCAUGACGCCUUGGCGUAUUGUGCUAGGGAGUUGUAGGGCGAACUCCAGGUGAGUGGGCAGUUUUGUUUUCCGUAUAUAUAUAUAUAUAUACUUGACGUUUUCCCAGAAAUUGAAUUAGAAUGAAAUUAUGUUUUAAAUGAAAGGUAUAUAGAAUUAUAUGAAAACGUGAAUUGAAAGGUCAUGCAUAGAAGUAUAUGAAAUAUAUAUGGAAAUGUAAAUUGACUUGCCAUGCAUGAAAUGAUAUGAAAAGUAUGAAUUGAUAUAUGAUGCAUAUGUAUGAAUUAGUGCGGCGGACGCACAGGUAAGUAUCAGGUGAGUAUUUAAUUACUGUUAUGAUGAUGUUGAUGUAUAUUGAGCUCAAAUCCUGCACCAUGGUUUAGUGCUUAUAGUAUUCACCGCAUCGCACGCUCGCCUUGGAUCCAAGUAGAUGCUGGUCGCACAGUCCACGCGGAGUGGGUGCGACGGGCCAGUCGUAGAGUGUUAAUGAGAUUUCGACUGGUGGGUGACCUUAGAUUAUGUGCACAUAUGAUUGAUGAGAAAGCACUAGAGCGUAAUAUUAACCAUUAAGUCGUACAGACUACAUUAGGUGGUUUCGACUUAUGUGCAGAAGGCCGGACAGGUCACAGAGGUGACUCCGGCAGAGUGAGAGUGAUAGAUUUUGAGCUCUAGGUUCAACCGUACAGGGCUAUUAGAGGGCCUCCGGUUGAUUACUUUCUUGCACCUGAUAUGAUUAUUGUUGAUGCAUCCAUACUUAACUGUUGAAUUAGACAUGGCAUGGCAUGAUUGUUAAAGAAAAAUGUUGAGAUAGUAAAAAUGAAGUUUUGAGAAUGUAUAUGUAUAUUUAUAUUUUACAUUUCUGGGAAAGUAUACAAGUUUUACGGAGAGGGGUUACAAUGUUUUGAGAAAAGUUGGAUUUGAAAAGAAUUGUUUUACUGACCCACUCAAUUUUGGUUUUGCGCCCCUCCAGGUUCAGGAAUCACAAGGGUGUGGUGACUACGAGGAAUUCGACGGUGUUCUGACAGAUUGGACAAAAUUAGGACUCACCUUCGGGUGUAUCAACUUAUAAAUUGUAUCUUAAAGCUUCCGUACUGUGCAAAUGGUUACGUCACUCUCACGUGACGGCCAACAUGCCCUCCUUCGGAACGGGGUGUGUCAUACUCGUGGAGGAAUAAUGAUGAAUCACGAGUGUUUAUAUAUUCUUUCACAUUUUUCAUACUUGUAUGUA